rnacentral:rRNA from 1 species
UGGCGGACGGGUGAGUAACGCGUGGAUAACCUGCCUCACACUGGGGGAUAACAGUUAGAAAUGGCCGCUAAUACCGCAUAAGCGCACAGUACCGCAUGGUACGGUGUGAAAAACCCAGGUGGUGUGAGAUGGAUCCGCGUCUGAUUAGCCAGUUGGCGGGGUAACGGCCCACCAAAACGACGAUCAGUAGCCGACCUGAGAGGGUGACCGGCCACAUUGGGACUGAGACACGGCCCAA